AAAUAUUCAGUCUGACGAAAAAAUCAUGGAUUCUGAAUGGAAUGUUUACGAGGCAUCAGAGAAAUGGAAUUGGAGAGUCUUUUAAGUAAAAAUUUGUAGUGAAUUAUUUAGCGAUUUGAAAUUUUGUGAUGAUAACGUUUUAUUUUUUUAAUCACGAGACAACUUCAGAGGAUGAUGGUGAAACAAAAAAAGUGAAGCACUAGGGUGGACCUAACAAGGAGUUGGAAGAAAACCUAAUGUUCAACUGAUUUUUGAACACCUAAAAAUGUACAAGAUAGAUCAAACUGUUACAAAGAGAUUAUGAUAAAAUUAUUUAUUGUGCCUGGAAUGGACAUAUGCCAAAUGCAGAAUCCAGAUGCGGAAGCCACAAAUGUUUUAGG
rnacentral:lncRNA from 1 species